ensembl:rRNA predicted gene, 24647
GUCUAUGGCUAUGUUACCCUGAACCGCCCUGAUCUCCUCUGAUCUCUGAAGCCCAGGAGGGUCCGGCCUUGGGUAGCACUUGCAUGGUAGAGGCUACUUGGUAACCAUUUACU